ACGAUUUCUUUUUCUUUAUUAAUCCAAUUCCAAUCUUUAUCAAUUCAUGCCUCCUAAAAUCCCAAUAGUAAUAAGAAACCCAGCAAAUCUAAAAGUGACGGGAAAAGUGGCAUUUAAUUGCCGAUUCCUCCACUCAAAAGAAAAACAAUGAAUCUGAUCCACAAAUCCUUCCUAAACAAUUACAACAAUUGAAUUCAUCUUUAAGGUAAUUAUUACCUUCAUCCACGGGUGUAUCUAAUAAUUCCCAGCCGUCAAACAUAAAUAAAAAUGUCAGCUCACCGUCAUCUACGCUGAUGUGGAGGUUGAAUCAGCUUCUAAAAAGAUUGGGAAUGAAGCGACUUUUAGCCAGGAAUCAAGUAAUGGCAGCCUGGGUUCGUGAAUGCAUACGAGAAAAGACAAAAAAACAAAAAAUCCCACCACCAGUGAUAUUCCACCGCCGGCGACCUCUCAGCCACUAACCAACUACCAAGGGGUGUCAAAGGCUGAGACUAAAACAACCCAGAAAGAAAGAAAUAGGUGAGUGGGAACAACGAUUUCAACACAGAUAGAAAGAAAAAAACAACAAUAUAUAGCUAGGAGUUGUUAUUUUUCCUUUUGAUUAUUUUUGUAAGAAUCUAUUAAUGAUUGAUAGGGUUUUGAGAUAUGAUAUGAUGUAGGAUAUAUACAUAUAUAUUACCAGUAAGGGUAAUUGAUUGAUUGGUUGUUCUUAUUUUGUUAAUUUUACUUUAAGAAGUGGUGGUCGGAAUCUUGAACGAAAAUUGACCGGAUAUUUAUCGGAGAAGAUGAGUUUGAGUUUGAAAGCCUAUUAUAAGUAUUGAACUAUGUAGUAAUCUCUAUUGUAUUUAUAAAACGUGGCAUAAUAAUUCCA